GGAGGCGUGCCAGAGCGGUUGAAUGGGCUAGUCUCGAAAACUAGUGUGGCAGCAAUGUCAUCAGAGGUUCGAAUCCUCUCGCCUCCG
rnacentral:tRNA from 1 species